rnacentral:rRNA from 1 species
AUACGGAGGAUCCGAGCGUUAUCCGGAUUUAUUGGGUUUAAAGGGUGCGCAGGCGGCCAUUUAAGUCAGCGGUUAAAUCGUGGGGCUCAACCCCAUUCUGCCGUUGAUACUGGGUGGCUUGAUUGCGGUCGGGGUUGGCGGAAUUCGUUGUGUAGCGGGGAAAUGCAUAGAUAUGACGAAGAACACCGAUUGCGUAGGCAGCUGACCAGACCGCAAAUGACGCUCAUGCACGAAAGUGCGGGGAUCGAACAGGAUUAGAUACCCUGGUAGUCCGCACAGUAAACGAUGAAUACUUGUUUUCGGCGAUAUAAUGUCGGAGGCAAAGCGAAAGCGAUAAGUAUUCCACCUGGGGAGUACGCCGGCAACGGUGAAACUCAAAUGAAUUGACGGGG